CGAAAUCGGUAGACGCUACGGACUUAAAAUCCGUCGACUUYAGAAAUCGUGAGGGUUCAAGUCCCUCUAUCCCC
rnacentral:tRNA from 1 species